rnacentral:rRNA from 1 species
GGUUAAGUGAAUAAGGGCGCACGGUGGAUGCCUUGGCACUAGGAGCCGAUGAAGGACGGGACUAACACCGAUAUGCUUUGGGGAGCUGUACGUAAGCUAUGAUCCAGAGAUUUCCGAAUGGGGGAACCCAGCAUCUUUAAUAGGAUGUUACGAUUGUGUGAAUACAUAGCACAUUCGAGGUAGACGCAGAGAACUGAAACAUCUAAGU